rnacentral:tRNA from 1 species
GCCGGCUUAGCUCAGUUGGUAGAGCAGCGCACUUGUAAUGCGCAGGUCACCGGUUCGAAUCCGGUUGCCGGCUCCA